rnacentral:rRNA from 1 species
UACGUAGGUGGCAAGCGUUGUCCGGAAUUACUGGGCGUAAAGGGCUCGUAGGCGGCCAACUAAGUCGGAUGUGAAAUCCCCAGGCUUAACCUGGGAACUGCAUCCGAUACUGGAUGGCUUGAAUCCGGGGAGAGGGAUGCGGAAUUCCAGGUGUAGCGGUGAAAUGCGUAGAUAUCUGGAGGAACACCGGUGGCGAAGGCGGCAUCCUGGACCGGCAUUGACGCUGAGGAGCGAAAGCCAGGGGAGCAAACGGG